rnacentral:tRNA from 1 species
GAACCCUUGGUGUAGUGGCUAUCACAUCUGAUUCCAGUCCAGAAGGUCACCUGUUCAACUCGGGUAGGGUUCA